rnacentral:lncRNA from 1 species
CAGGUUAAAGACAGGCAUAAAGCUUUGAAGAGUCUAAAUCUUAGAUUAUAAAGAUUAUAAAUUUUAGGAGGACAAGGACAGCUGCUGUCUGUACGGCAGCAGUGCCCUGCAGGCAAGGGGCAGCUUCUGCCUGCAAUGGCACCGAUCCACCUCCAUCCCCGGCACUGCCGCUGGCAGGGCAGCCCCGUGGUUCCCCAAACAGCUGCAGGAGGGGCUGGGCAGCCUGGGGAGCUCCCUGUGGGUGACUUGGGAAUGCCAAUGCACCAGGCUGAGCAACUCAAGGGAAGGGAACACGAUAGGAAACGGUAGGAAAUGGAUGAUUUGCCUGUUCCUUUCAGCGCUGGAGCUCAUGCACUCACAAGGUGGCUGUGCAGUGGCCGCAGGCUGUGCUGCUGGGGUCACGGAGCCAGGUCUGCCCCUCGCAGUGUGGGGCAGCGCUCUGGGGCAGCGCACAGCCCAGAGGGUGCUGUGUAGGUGCCCCUGCCGAGGCACUGUGGAUGAGUGCCAGCACACACCAGAGUCAGGCAUGUGAGCUGGGCUGCCCCUGGCCGAACCGUGGGCUGCGUGCCCUCUGCCACCACCGCUGGGACCACCCGCUGCAGCAGGCGCGAGCGCUCCCACCCCGGCCCUGCCCGCCAGCCCCACUGCCUGAGGCAGACCAUGGGGUGCUGACAUGCCAGGGCUGAAUGCGAAGCGCGGGGGCAUCGGCACGAGCCGUGGCAGCAUCUGUGCUGGCUGGAGCCCGCCCCAGGCAGCGGAGCCCUGCUGCGAGGACACCGUGGCACACAGGCAGCACCAGCCACCCAGAUCUGCCUGUCCUAAAUCCCAAGCAGAUGGUGCAACUCAGCCCGUCUCCUCCAGCAAGGAUGAUCCCUGGGGCCUCCCUGCAGAGAGUGUACAUUUCAAAGGAUAAUUCCAGCAGCACUCCUUACCCUGAUCUGGAGGCUUCUGAGCAUCUAUGUACUUCAUCAUUCUUCACAUAUACCUGCCCCUGCCUCGCACCAUCUCCCACUGGGGCUUGCUUUUCUCUUCUAAAAGGCCACUAAAACUCCUACCUACCUGCCAGCAAGUGCCAAUUUUUCUUAAUGAUUUGCAGAGGGAAUCUACACCUUCAGAAGUACAAUGUAUAUGAAACCAGGACAGACUCGGAGUUUUAAGCAUCCAGCUCACUAAUGACUUGUUAUAAAUGUUUUCCAAACUGCUUUGUGUCUCUGGGAGGUGAGAAUUAUCACUGUAUCUCAGUAAAAAUGAAUAUAAAAUAGGAGCAGCAUGCUGCACACUUCACAUUAAAUGCUCACAAAUAAACCAUUUGCCAUUCUGAUGUCA